UCUCCCAAUUGAGACCCGGCUGAGCUUCGCCGGAAAAGUUUGCUGUUGAUCCACCGAAGCUUCUGGCCUCCGCCGGAGCUGUUGUCGGGCCGGUUCGAAAUCGCAGUUGCCUCAUUGUGUUACUUCGGUAAGAAAUUAUGUUUCGAAUAAUCUCGCGUUAGUAUUCUGUUGUGUUUGGUUAAUGAAUAUGAGUCUUGGUAACGUGGGAUCGAGUCUUGAUUAUUAUAUAUUGCGAUUAGUGUUGCUUUGGUUAUUA